GCUAAACGCGGUUGCGGAAUAAGCGCUGCGGACCCGGGGGCGGUACCCGGCGGCUCCACCAUCAGAAGCCAAUGGACCGGUUUUCCGGAUUCAGGGGCUUUUGAAUUGGGGCCGAAACAGGAUCGACACACGUGGUAAAGGCGAUUGGCGGCGUUCGGUAUUGUAUCCGCCGUUAUCGGGCUGAUUUUAUAGUUGCAAAUGAUAACAACUAUGCUGUAGCCGCCAAUGACAACGAAUAUUUCGUUGCCGAAGGCGAAGCGAUUGCUGCUUAAUUUUAGGUCGCGAAAGCACGCUACAUUCAAUUCCUGACUUACUAGCAUGAGACAGGUGGGGCGUGGGGCUGCCUAGCAACAGAAGUGCCCCGUU
rnacentral:tmRNA from 1 species